CAGUAGCCACGGUAAUACGGAGGAUCCAAGCGUUAUCCGGAAUCAUUGGGUUUAAAGGGUCCGUAGGCGGUCUUGUAAGUCAGUGGUGAAAGCCCAUCGCUCAACGGUGGAACGGCCAUUGAUACUGCAGGACUUGAAUUAUUGGGAAGUAACUAGAAUAUGUAGUGUAGCGGUGAAAUGCUUAGAGAUUACAUGGAAUACCAAUUGCGAAGGCAGGUUACUACCAAUUGAUUGACGCUGAUGGACGAAAGCGUGGGUAGCGAACAGGAUUAGAUACCCCAGUAGUCCCUGUCUCUUAUAU
rnacentral:rRNA from 1 species